CAAAGUUUGUGCAAAGUUCAUUAGAGGGAGCAAAAAUGAUCCUGUGGCUAAACGUAUUGUCCUUAUUAGCAGUCUUGAGAGGUGUCCACUCUGCAGUCAUGCUGGUGGAGUCUGGAGGGGCUGUGAGAAGACCUGGACAGUCCCUCCGUCUCUCCUGUCAAGGUUCUGGAUUCAACUUUGGUAAUAACGGCAUGAACUGGGUGAGACAGGAUCCUGGAAAAGGGCUGGAUUGGGUAGCCUACAUAAGCUACACUUCUGGUACUACUUACUACUCAGACAAAGUCAAGGGCCGCUUCACCAUCUCCCGGGACAAUGGCAAAAGCCAGCUGUAUCUGCAAAUGAACAGCCUCAAAACUGAAGAUACAGGAGUCUAUUACUGUGCAAGAGGCACAGUGAGAGGAAGUGAAUCUGAUGCUAAGCAAAAACCUUCUCCUCCUCUGAGCAGCUUUCCAAAAUGAUUCAG